UGGUCAAGUUAUUAAGGGUGCAGGGCGGAUGCCUUGGCACUAGGAGCCGAUGAAGGACGUGAUAAGCUGCGAUAAGCUUCGGGGAGUUGCACGUAAACUUUGAUCCGAAGAUUUCCGAAUGAGGAAACUCACUUAGAGUAAUGUCUAAGUAUCAUUAAGUGAAUACAUAGCUUAAUGAGGGGAACUCAGGGAACUGAAACAUCUAAGUACCUGAAGGAAGAGAAAGAAAUUCGAUUCCGUAAGUAGCGGCGAGCGAACGCGGAUUAGCCCAAACCAAUAAAGUUUUCUUUAUUGGGGUUGCGGACAUAUCAUAACGAAGAGGUAUCGUAAUUGAAGAGGUUUGGAAAGACCCACCACAGAAGGUAAUAGUCCUGUAUGUUAAACGAGAAGACUUUAGAUAUGAUCCAGAGUACUACGGGACACGUGAAACCCUGUGGGAAGCAGGAGGGACCACCCUCCAAGGCUAAAUACUACCUAGUGACCGAUAGCGUAUAGUACCGUGAGGGAAAGGUGAAAAGAACCCCGGGAGGGGAG
rnacentral:rRNA from 1 species